UACAGAGGUCUCAAGCGUUGUUCGGAUUCAUUGGGCGUAAAGGGCUCGUAGGCGGCCAACUAAGUCAGACGUGAAAUCCCUCGGCUUAACCGGGGAACUGCGUCUGAUACUGGAUGGCUUGAGUGUGGGAGAGGGAUGCGGAACUCCAGGUGUAGCGGUGAAAUGCGUAGAUAUCUGGAGGAACACCGGUGGCGAAGGCGGCAUCCUGGACCACGACUGACGCUGAGUGAGCGAAAGCCAGGGGAGCAAACGGG
rnacentral:rRNA from 1 species